rnacentral:lncRNA from 14 species
CUCCUCUCUCCCUCCUCUCCCUCCCGCUCCACCUCCGCUCCCAGCCCGGCCGGGCAGUGCCGGCGCCCAAAAGCAGCCGCGCUCUGCCCUGGGGGGGUUCCAAAGCGGGCCCGCCCCGCCCGGCACUGGGAGCGAUACUGGGAGCACUGGGAACGAUGGUGGGAGCAGCGGGAAGGAACUGGGAGCGCUCUCCCUCCCAGUACCGCCCUUACUGGGAGCGCUGGGAACGGUGGUGGGAGCACCGGGCAGGAACUGGGAGCGCUCUCCCUGACAGUGCCGCUCUUACUGGGAGCACUGGGAACGAUGGUGGGAGCACCGGGCAGGAACUGGGAGCGCUCUCCCUGCCAGUCCUGCUCUUACUGGGAGCACUGGGAACGAUGGUGGGAGCACCGGGAAGGGAACUGGGAGCGCUCUCCCUGCCAGUACUGCUCUUACUGGGAGCGCUGGGAACGAUGGUGGGAGCGCCGGGAAGGAACUGGGAGCGCUCUCCGUGCCGGUCCCGCUCUUACUGGGAGCACUGGGAACGAUGGUGGGAGCGCCGGGAGGGAACUGGGAGCGCUCUCCGUGCCGGUCCCGCUCUUACUGGGAGCACUGGGAGGGAACUGGGAGCGCUCUCCCUGCCGGUCCCGCUCUUACUGGGAGCACUGGGAGGGAACUGGGAGCGCUCUCCCUGCCGGUCCCGCCCUUACUGGGAGCACUGGGAGGGAACUGGGAGCGCUCUCCCUGCCGGUCCCGCCCUUACUGGGAGCACUGGGAGGGAACUGGGAGCGCUCUCCCUGCCAGUCCCGCCCUUACUGGGAGCACUGGGAGGGAACUGGGAGCGCUCUCCCUGCCAGUCCCGCCCUUACUGGGAGCACUGGGAGGGAACUGGGAGCGCUCUCCCUGCCGGUCCCGCCCUUACUGGGAGCGCUGGGACGGAACUGGCAGCAAACAGCGCCCGGACGCGGCUGCAGCUGGCGGGGCCGGGGCCAGGCCAAAGGGCGUGGUUAUGCAAAUACAGGAGAGAUCGCGCGCUGGGAUUGGUGGGUGGGAGCAGCGCG